UCUACUUCCACUUAAUGAACAAAUGUUCAUCUCUAGAGAACAAGUAUCUCAAAAUGAUCCUUGGGCUCCCAUUCUGGUUCCCACAUUACAUUGAGUCAUCGUGUCUCCAUAGGCUCCUCCUGG